UGGAAUGGCUGCGGGUAUCCCUGUCUGUGAUGAUGUUUCUCAUUCGCUAGUCGUUUAGACAUUUGGUUUGAAUGAGACCAUCGAAAACAGCAGGGGUUGAGAUCACACCGCUUGAACCUGAACAGCGCUCAUACCUGCGUAGGGAAGCCCCCAGUGUCGUUU
rnacentral:ncRNA from 1 species